ACAACUUUCAGCAACGGAUCUCUUGGCUCUCGCAUCGAUGAAGAACGCAGCGAAAUGCGAUAAGUAAUGUGAAUUGCAAAAUUCAGUGAAUCAUCGAAUCUUUGAACGCACCUUGCGCUCCUUGGUAUUCCGAGGAGCAUGCCUGUUUGAGUGUCAUUAA
rnacentral:rRNA from 1 species